UACAGAGGGUGCGAGCGUUAAUCGGAAUUACUGGGCGUAAAGCGUGCGUAGACGGUUAUUUAAGUCGGAUGUGAAAGCCCUGGGCUCAACCUAGGAAGUGCAUUCGAAACUUCUGAGCUGGAGUGCUGGAGAGGAAGGCGGAAUUCUCGGUGUAGAGGUGAAAUUCGUAGAUAUCGAGAGGAACACCGGUGGCGAAGGCAGCCCCCUGGGUCAACACUGACGCUCAUGCACGAAAGCGUGGGGAGCAAACAGG
rnacentral:rRNA from 1 species